AGAGUUUGAUCCUGGCUCAGGACGAACGCUGGCGGCGUGCCUAAUACAUGCAAGUAGAACGCUGAAGAGAGGAGCUUGCUCUUCUUGGAUGAGUUGCGAACGGGUGAGUAACGCGUAGGUAACCUGCCUUGUAGCGGGGGAUAACUAUUGGAAACGAUAGCUAAUACCGCAUAACAAUGGAUGACACAUGUCAUUUAUUUGAAAGGGGCAAUUGCUCCACUACAAGAUGGACCUGCGUUGUAUUAGCUAGUAGGUGAGGUAAUGGCUCACCUAGGCGACGAUACAUAGCCGACCUGAGAGGGUGAUCGGCCACACUGGGACUGAGACACGGCCCAGACUCCUACGGGAGGCAGCAGUAGGGAAUCUUCGGCAAUGGGGGCAACCCUGACCGAGCAACGCCGCGUGAGUGAAGAAGGUUUUCGGAUCGUAAAGCUCUGUUGUAAGUCAAGAACGGGUGUGAGAGUGGAAAGUUCACACUGUGACGGUAGCUUACCAGAAAGGGACGGCUAACUACGUGCCAGCAGCCGCGGUAAUACGUAGGUCCCGAGCGUUGUCCGGAUUUAUUGGGCGUAAAGCGAGCGCAGGCGGUUUGAUAAGUCUGAAGUUAAAGGCUGUGGCUCAACCAUAGUUCGCUUUGGAAACUGUCAAACUUGAGUGCAGAAGGGGAGAGUGGAAUUCCAUGUGUAGCGGUGAAAUGCGUAGAUAUAUGGAGGAACACCGGUGGCGAAAGCGGCUCUCUGGUCUGUAACUGACGCUGAGGCUCGAAAGCGUGGGGAGCGAACAGGAUUAGAUACCCUGGUAGUCCACGCCGUAAACGAU
rnacentral:rRNA from 1 species